rnacentral:rRNA from 1 species
UACGUAGGGUGCGAGCGUAAUCGGAAUGACUGGGCGUAAAGGGCGCGUAGGCGGCUCAUGAAGGCUGUGGUGAAAGUCCGGGGCUCAACCUCGGAUCGGCCGUGGCGACUCGUGGGCUGGAGCACUGUAGAGGCGGGUGGAAUUCCGGGUGUAGCGGUGGAAUGCGUAGAGAUCCGGAAGAACACCAGUGGCGAAGGCGGCCCGCUGGGCAGUGGCUGACGCUGAGGCGCGACAGCGUGGGGAGCAAACAGG